UUUUGCAGUGAUGUCUCCAAAAUUCAAGCUCAACAGACCGGAUUACAGCUCUCUCUCUCUCUCAUCAGAGAAAGAGAGAUCUGUGUGUCGAUAACCCCGCUGAACUGAGCAAUC
rnacentral:snoRNA from 1 species